AAAUACGUUCAAUCAGAAUUAUACAAUAUUCUAAAAAUAGACAUAUAACACCAUGCAUCGAAUUUGUAAAUCAAGAAUAACUCGACUCGAGAAAAUAUUUAUAACUUGCCGAUAAAUCUAAAAAAAAGUUACAUUACUUACUUUGCGAACGCGAUCCACAACAAAUCCAAUUAAUUUCACAAAUCCCUCGCAGAACCUAAUAUCCAAAAAUCACAUUCUUCUUUUAAAAUUCAUCACAAUAUAUGUAUACAAAAGCUUAAAUUUUAAUAUCCUCCUAUGGCUGAUCCUGCAGAAGU
rnacentral:lncRNA from 1 species